rnacentral:misc_RNA from 1 species
AGGCUUAGUUGUUGUUAUUGUUGUAAAUCCAAAUUACGAACUGCCAUUAAAUUCCAGUUCAGAGAAUCCCGCCUGAAUAGCACAAUGAACACUAUAAAAGAUUUCCAUUGCUUCUGGUACAGCCAAAUCGCACUGCAGCCUUAACAUCUUGCAAGCAGCAAAGACAACACAGCCUUCCCCAUCCCAAAUAACAAUUUCCAAACCAACACAACCCUCUUGACCCACAGCUGCUGCAUCAGUAUUUACCUUAAAAGGACCCGCAGUAGGGGCCUUCCAAACCUUUACUGUAGUUGCAUUUGACCCAAAACUCCAUUGAUUCAACUGGAAAUCUUUUAACAGCAACUCGCCCUGCUGUUGAAUAGCAUAAUGGUCUACACCUGAUUGCCGUGAACUAGAGUAUUUUUUGCAAUUCCAAGUAGCCCACAAAUUAAAACAUGACGAAGAGUUCAAGAAGUUGAGAGUCAAGAUGCUGAUAAAGAGAUUUAACCCAAUCAAACAUAUUAGAACACUUAUAGAUCAUGCAAUCCCUCACUUAUUUCUUAUCACGAUAUUUCUUAUCACCUCCAUAACUGACUCCACAUGAUCUUGGAAGAUGCGUAUCAAAGAUACCAAAAGACUUGGUUACACUAGUCCCCUCAAGUUGUACAUACAAUAUUCUUAUCCUAUUACCAUGAAUCAAGUGAAGCCGUGGUGCCUAAAAAUAAGCCUGAAGCCCCCUGUAUCAUUUUCUUUUAUCUAACUUAUUUUUCAGAAGAACAUCUAUUCCUUGCAGUUGAUGUGUCUUUAUUGCAAUGCAUGCAGAGG